CCUCCCCGAGCCCCGCUGCCUCCCGCCUCCCUCCUCCCCGGCGCCCGCCUCCCCGCGGCGUGCCCGCCUCCCUCCCUCCGUCCCCCGGCCGGCAGCCGGGCAGCGGGCGGGCGCUGCCGCCGGCCCCACAGCACCGCGGCCGGGCUGCGCGGAGCGGAGCGGAGCGGAGCGGGGCUGGCUGGGCGGGGAGGGAGGGAGGGAGGGGAGUGGAUGUGUGUGUGUGUGGAAAGAGCGGGGGGGGGCGAAGGGGGGGAAAUCAAAUAAAUAAAUAAGCUCCCCACCAAUAAGAGAGGCAGCGGCUGGCGAGCAGGCUGGGCUCGGCUGGGAGAGGUCCUCGCUCGGCUGCGUGUUUGUUUGUGUUGUGACCAGAGCCGCGAAGUUCAGAGCCCAAACGUGUUGCUCCGCUCCGCUCCACCUGCUCGGCCGGCGGGGGGGUGCCGCUUCGGCCGCCCCGCCGCCCUCCGGGGCCGAAGGACGGGAGAGGAGCGCGGGGCCGCGCCCGCCGCCCGCCCGCCUUCCCCUCAGCCACCGCCGGGGAGGCGACGGACAGGUGUAUCUCCAGAAAAACAAAAAAUUAAUGACAGGAUCAGAAUACACUCUGGAUUUUCUUCCCAUGUGCAGACUACACCUGAAGUGUUGAAUUCACAUACAGCAACACCUUCCUCUUGGAUAGUCAAAAGCUGAUGACCCUGGAUGAAUGCUGAUGCUCUUUAUAGGUAUGUGGAGUUGCAGAGGGAGGAACUGAACUCCAUAAAAUCUCUGAGUGCAGCCAAGUGAAUCAAGUGUUUGCCUCCUUUGUUCUGAACUUUCUGUUUGUUGUCCUAGGUACGUUUAUAAUUCUUUGGCAUGUGGUAUUUUUUAAUGGCAAAGCUGUUUUUCAGUAGUAACCAUUUGUGCGUAUGAAAUAAUUGAAGUUCACACAAUAAAGCAUAGUUCAAUUUACUUGAACA
rnacentral:lncRNA from 1 species